GUGACUCAGUCUGCAAAGUAGUUUGGUUCAACUCUUGAAUCAGAUAAGUCAAAAAACUGUUUUGAAUAAUUCGAACCGAUGGUUUAAUUAUCAAACCAACAAAAAAUGGUUAAGUUUUAACUAAACGUGCAAGAGUUUUUUUUAGCAAGUCAUAUUAAAAUUCAACGACUUAAAAUCAAUCUGACUGAUUUUAUUUUCUAUUAGAACAAAUUAGUCUUAUAAAAAGCGAAACUUGAAAAUGUAUAUCUACUUAAUUUA
rnacentral:lncRNA from 1 species